UGCCCACCAACUCCUAUUCCUACCUCCACGCGGUACCGGCCGGAAACUAUGAGCAACCUUAGGGAAGAUCGGGUAACCAACCCCGGUGGGACCUUUGGUCGUAGGCUGACAGGGAAGG
rnacentral:ribozyme from 1 species